UACAGAGGUCCCAAGCGUUGUUCGGAUUCAUUGGGCGUAAAGGGUGCGUAGGCGGCGCGGUAAGUCGGGUGUGAAAUCUCGGGGCUUAACUCCGAAACUGCAUUCGAUACUGCCGUGCUUGAGGACUGGAGAGGAGACUGGAAUUUACGGUGUAGCGGUGAAAUGCGUAGAUAUCGUAAGGAAGACCAGUGGCGAAGGCGGGUCUCUGGACAGUUCCUGACGCUGAGGCACGAAGGCCAGGGGAGCGAAACGGG
rnacentral:rRNA from 1 species